UACGUAGGGGGCAAGCGUUGUCCGGAUUUAUUGGGCGUAAAGAGCGUGUAGGCGGCCAGAUAGGUCAGCUGUGAAAACUCGAGGCUCAACCUCGAGACGUCGGUUGAAACCAUCUGGCUAGAGUCCGGAAGAGGAGAGUGGAAUUCCCGGUGUAGCGGUGAAAUGCGCAGAUAUCGGGAAGAACACCCGUGGCGAAGGCGGCUCUCUGGGACGGUACUGACGCUGAGACGCGAAAGCGUGGGGGAGCGAACAGG
rnacentral:rRNA from 1 species